UACGGGGGGGCAAGCGUUGUUCGGAAUUAUUGGGCGUAAAGCGCGUGUAGGCGGCUUUGCAAGUCGGGUGUGAAAGCCCUCAGCUUAACUGAGGAAGUGCGCCCGAAACUGCAGAGCUUGAAUACCGGAGAGGAUGGCGGAAUUCCCAAGUAGAGGUGAAAUUCGUAGAUAUGGGAGGAACACCGGUGGCGAAGGCGGCCAUCUGGACGGCUAUUGACGCUGAGACGCGAAAGCGUGGGGAGCAACAGGG
rnacentral:rRNA from 1 species